CACGGGGGGAGCAAGCGUUGUCCGGAUUUACUGGGCGUAAAGAGCGUGUAGGCGGGAUGACAAGUCGGUGGUGAAAUCUCUCGGCUUAACCGGGAAUGUGCUGUCGAUACUAUCAUCCUUGAGUGCGGAAGAGGGAAGCGGAAUUCCUGGUGUAGCGGUGAAAUGCGUAGAUAUCAGGAAGAACACCAGUAGCGAAGGCGGCUUCCUGGUCCGCAACUGACGCUGAGACGCGAAAGCGUGGGGAG
rnacentral:rRNA from 1 species